AGAAGCCGUACCCUCCAUUGUACACUGAAUUGGGUAUUCAAGAGUGGGCUUUAAGAUAUGCGAUAAAGGACACAAUUAAACCGGUUUUGUAAAAUUAUAUCUGGAUAGAGUCCAUGUUAGGGUCUGGAUAUGAAAAAUAAUUUUUUUUUUUACUAAAGAUAUAAAAUGAGCCAACAACGGUAUAAAAUGAGAGAAAAAAGAACUAAAAAAACAAUAAGAGUGGUGUACAGGCAAAUUGUACCAGAGUCUCCAUGACUUUGCAGUCUCAGUGAGGUACACUCCCACCGUCUGGGAGCUUCACAUUGGGAGUCCGUCAAGUGACUGUGGGUGGUCUAGGCUGGAAUAUAGGGAUCUUGAAGAUGCCCAGACUUUCCAGGUGUGUAUCUUGAGCACCGGUGCUUGUGAUGAGGCCCAGGAUACUCAUAGUGGUUUCUAGGUCCUGGAGGUUCUGUGCCUGGUGGGUGAACAGUAACAUUCUAGGAACUCCCCAGUGAUAGGUCAUUUCUUUGGUUCGGAGAACCUGUAACCUGAUGUAGUGCAGCAUUUCAUCCAUGCUUACAUCUGCAGGGAUGCCCCUUAUUUUUUAAGUUGUGGCGUCUCCUCUGAUCAUACAGUAUCUCUACUGGGCCCCUAAAAACAGCAUUGAUUAACUACACCCAGUACUCACAAGCAACCAAACCCUGCAGAUUCUUCUAAGCAGAGACUGGCCCCCCAAAAACAGCAUUGAAUAACUACACCCAGUACUCACAAGCAACCAAACCCUGCAGAAUCUUCUAAGCAGAGACUGGGCUCCUAAAAACAAAAUUGAUUAACUACACAUAGUACUCACAAGCAACCAAACCCUGCAGAAUAUUCUAAGCACACACUGGGCCCCUAAAAACAGCAUUGAUUAACUACACCCAUGUAACGGACCGUUUCUCAAACAAGAGGAUAAAAACCGUUUAGGCGAUAAUCCCCUUUCCCAUAGACCAGCAGCUACUGCAAGCACCAAACUCCCGAACUGCAAACUGUACGAAUUCACCAACUCUCGAACUGGAAACACACGAACACUGGAAUCAGCCGAACAGGAAAAGCAUACAAUCCGCUUACACUCCUGGCAGUCAGCAUACAAUCCAAUUCCCCCCAAAAACGAGACGACACAUCAGUUUGAGGGUCAAGCAGAAUCUCCUGUACUGUCACAUACAGUCUCUUUUAUUCCCAAUCCACAAACAUAGUACAGCCCACAGGGCGUUAUAAAACAACACUUCCUCUGCAGGUGAUAUGAUUACUGAACACAAUGGGUAAUCUCAUUAUCACCGGCAGAGGAAUACAGUUUUAACACAAUAUUUAUAACUUCUAAAAUAUACAUGUCACAAACAUAAAACAUACAUUUUCAUAAUCAAUCCAUUCAGGGGAACAACAUAUUAAAAAAUGGCACGAAUCAGACCAGGGGUUCAAAAGUUAAGGAAAGUCCUUUGUGACUAAAUGAAGCAUGGCUUUCUGGCCCAAACCAGUUUCAGAGUCUUCUAUCCUGGAGAGUAAUUCAAUUAUCUCCCAGGACAGACACAAGACUCCAUUAAGCACAUGGUUGCAAAAAGACACAAAACACUUUAAAAUACAUAAAGUCACAUUUACACAUAACACACAGACAUUUCACAUAUCCCCAGAUAGCUGGGAUCUGAGUGCACAUUAUUAGAUGAAUGGCACUCAGAUCCCACAAAUAAGCCUUUCUGCAGGGGAAAUAAACGGUUUAACCUGCAGGGCCAUAGUCCAAAGGGAGCAGGCGAGCAACCAGGCUUCUCCAGUUCACAGUGGCGAGGUUGGUUUCACCACAACCCAGUACUCACAAGCAACCAAGCCCUGCAGAAUCUUCUAAGCAGAGAGCUGGCCCCCAAAAACAGCAUUGAAUAACUACACCCUGUACUCACAAGCAACCAAACCCUGCUGAAUCUUCUAAGCAGAGGUAUCAUCUUUGGAAGAUCUAUUAAAGAAUUCCAGUUCUACGUAUUGUUUCCUUUUAUUUCUUAAUUUAAAAUUGUGUUCUAUUCCACCUCCCACCUUUUUAUUUUAUGUUCAUUCUUUAUGUAGGGUUUCUCCUCUCAUCUCACUGCUCCUUCAAAUCUCUACCCAAAUCUCUACCCACUCCCGCCCUUUCUUUCCCAUCAUUCCAAAUUCAUUUGAUUCGCCUUUUCAAACCCUUCUCUGCUUACAUUGCCGUUAUUUAUCGCCCCCUGACUCCCCUCUCCUCUUCCUUGACCACUUUGUUGCCUGGCUACCCUACUUCCUCUCUUAUAAUAUCCCAUCCCUAAUUCUCAGGGACCUCCAUAUUCCCAUUAACCCACCUUUGACCUCAGCAGCCUCUGAACUACUUUCAAUUACUUCCUCCCUCUGGCUAUCGCAGUGGGCUAAUACCCAUGUAGCUGGCAAUACCCUCGACCUCAUCUUCUCUUAUGCAUGUACAGUGUCUAAUAUCCGCAACACUCCAUAUCCUCUCUUUGAUCACCACCUCUUAUCGUUUGCUCUCGAGUACCCCCUCACCUAACAACCUCAUCCUAACCCCCCUCAACUCAGGAGGAACCUUAAUUCUAUUGACCUCCAGCAGCUGUCAGCUGAUAUUAAUUCACAACUGCUAUCCAUCCCUUCUCUCUCCUGCCCCUCACUGGCCAUCUCUACAUAUAACACUACUCUCACCUCUGCAAAAUGCACCUCGAGGAGGGCACGCCCCCCAACCGUGGCAAACUAAAUCAACACUCUACCUGCAAAGAUGCUCCCAUUGUGUGGAACGCUCCUGGAGGAAGUCUCGCACCCAGUCAGACAUUCUCCAUUAUAGAUUCAUAUUGUGUUCAUACAGCGCACCACUUGUCCGCCCCACCACUUGUCCGCUUGAUCCCGUCCCAUCUCACCUUAUCAGAUCUCUCUCCCCUUGUCUUGCGCCUUCCUUAACACACAUCUUCAACUGCUCUCUCUCUGGCGUUGUCCCUGCUGACCUUAAUAAUGCCACUGUAGUACCUAUCCUGAAAAAAACCUCUCUUGACCUGUCCUCCCCCUCUAUUAUCCCAUAUCCCUGCUCCUUUUCUCCUCAAAAACUCUGGAAAGACUUGUCUUUAACCAUAUGUCUCACUUCCUCAAUUACAACUCUUUCCUUGAUCCUCUUCAAUCUGGCUUCCGCCCCCUCCACUCUACUGAGACUGCUCUUAUCCAAUUUACUAAUGACCUAAUCACAGCUAAAUCCAAAGUUCACUACUCCAUACUAAUUCUUCUUGUCCUCUCUGAUGCCUUUGACACCGUUGAUCAUGCUCUCCUUCAAACUCUUCAAACACUCGGUCUCCGUGACUCUGUCCUCUCAUGGUUUUCCUCUUAUCCCUCCCAACGCUCAUUCAGCGUCUCCUUUUCUAAUGAUACCUCCUCCCCUCGUCCUGUUUUGGUUGGAGUCCCCCAAGGCUCUGUCCUUGGUCCCCUUCUAUUUUCUCUUUAUACUACCUCUCUUUGCAAACUUAUUACCUCUUUUGGAUUUCAGUACCAACUGUACACUGAUGAUACCCAGAUAUAUCUCUCCUCCCCGGACCUCUCCCCUGCCCUCCUGCAACGUGUCACUGCUUGCCUUUCUUCCAUCUCUGACUGGAUGUCCUCCUGCUUUCUCAAACUCAGUCUCUCUAAAACUGAGCUCCUUGUCUUUCCUCCGCCUAAUACGUAUCCUUCUCUUUUGCUCUCCCUUGAAAUAAGUGGUAUUCACAUAAGUCCAUUCGUGCAAAUGCGCUGUCUUGGCAUCAUGCUACCAAAGAGCUUGUCAAUGCUCUAGUAAUUUUCCGCAUGGAUUAUUGUAACCCUCUCCUAAUUGGUCUUCCCAAAAGCCGUAUGGCCCCGCUACAGUCUGUAAUGAAUGCUGCCGCCAGACUGAUUUUAUGUACUGUAAAAUGUUUCUUAUGUGUAAUGUUUGAGUAUAACACCAAUGUUCAUAGGAUAAGGUUUGCUCAAAUUAGUGUAUUAGUGCAUUGAGGAAGACAUACAAUGGUUUUCCAAG